rnacentral:rRNA from 1 species
CCUACGGGAGGCAGCAGUGGGGAAUUUUGGACAAUGGGGGCAACCCUGAUCCAGCCAUUCCGCGUGAGUGAAGAAGGCCUUCGGGUUGUAAAGCUCUUUCGGCAGGAACGAAACGGUCCGGGCUAAUACCCUGGGCUAAUGACGGUACCUGAAGAAGAAGCACCGGCUAACUACGUGCCAGCAGCCGCGGUAAUACGUAGGGUGCGAGCGUUAAUCGGAAUUACUGGGCGUAAAGCGUGCGCAGGCGGUUUUGUAAGACAGAUGUGAAAUCCCCGGGCUUAACCUGGGAACUGCGUUUGUGACUGCAAGACUUGAGUGCGGCAGAGGGGGGUGGAAUUCCACGUGUAGCAGUGAAAUGCGUAGAGAUGUGGAGGAACACCGAUGGCGAAGGCAGCCCCCUGGGUCGACACUGACGCUCAUGCACGAAAGCGUGGGUAGCAAACAGGAUUAGAUACCCUGGUAGUCCACGCCCUAAACGAUGCCAACUAGGUGUUGGGGAAGGAGACUUCCUUAGUACCGUAGCUAACGCGUGAAGUUGGCCGCCUGGGGAGUAC